rnacentral:lncRNA from 1 species
ACUGCUUGGGAGCAACGACCACAGCCCGGCCCUUCCUGGUUGACUGACCCGAUGACCCGUCCCCAGCCAAACCCCAGACAGAUGCCAAAGCCACGGAGAACUCUGAGUUUGUCGGAAGAACCCCAGAGUGGAGGAUCAGACCCACGUGGAUUCGGGUUUUCAGGUUAUCAGAAGCAAAUCACUUCACUGGUCAGCCCCGAUUGCAGUGGUUCUCAAGCCCAGCUACACAUUAGCAUCACCUGGGGAACUCUUCCAACCUACGGGUGUGCGAGCCCGAUCCCAAACCAAUUUCACCAGGAUCUCUGCUGAGUGGGACGGGGUAUCACUGCUUUUAAGAGCUCCCUGGAUGAUUUUAAUGUGAGACCCACUGGACCAGAAGACCUGAAGAGCCCUCCCGGCAUCCUGGUUCCUACACCGAUGUAUGAUUCAGAGUAGACACUUAGUAUGUGUUUGUUGAAUAAAUGAAUGAAGAUUCUGACUCACCUUUUUCGCUAUGUCCAUAUUCACAAUGUAUGAGGGAAGCCCCCUGCCUCCACUGCCUUCAGUCUUUUGGGGACAGCUAAUGAAGUUGCCUUGCCCUCCUCCAGCCAAGGGGUGGGCUCAGGACCCAAACUAAGUGAGCCAGACUGUCCUCCCCGGGAAUUUGACUCUAGCUUCAGUGUCUCAAGAAUAGAAGAUGAAUUGGUACAGCUGAAUACCAAUGUUGAUGCCCUAAGACACUGUGUAUUAGUUUCUAAAACAUUAGUCUGGAGUGUGACGAUAACAACAGUGAUAUGAUGUGAGCUAGGCGCCCUUAUCAUCCUCAUCCCU